GACGAACGCUGGCGGCGCGCCUAACACAUGCAAGUCGAACGAGCGAGAGAGAGCUUGCUUUCUCGAGCGAGUGGCGAACGGGUGAGUAACGCGUGAGGAACCUGCCUCAAAGAGGGGGACAACAGUUGGAAACGACUGCUAAUACCGCAUAAGCCCACGGCUCGGCAUCGAGCAGGGGGAAAAGGAGCAAUCCGCUUUGAGAUGGCCUCGCGUCCGAUUAGCUAGUUGGUGGGGUAACGGCCCACCAAGGCGACGAUCGGUAGCCGGACUGAGAGGUUGAACGGCCACAUUGGGACUGAGACACGGCCCAGACUCCUACGGGAGGCAGCAGUGGGGAAUAUUGCACAAUGGGGGAAACCCUGAUGCAGCGACGCCGCGUGGAGGAAGAAGGUCUUCGGAUUGUAAACUCCUGUUGAUGGGGAAGAUAAUGACGGUACCCAACAAGGAAGUGACGGCUAACUACGUG
rnacentral:rRNA from 1 species